ACCUUCGUGGUGUAAAUAGAAAGCACGUCCGGCUAGCAAUCGGAAAGACCAGAGUUCAAGUCUCGGCAUGGGCA
rnacentral:tRNA from 1 species